UGUGAGAGCAAGAGCCCGGAGAUGGAUUCUGAGACACGAAUCCAGGCCCUACGGGGUGCAGCAGGCGCGAAAACUUUACAAUGCUGGCAACAGCGAUAAGGGAACCUCGAGUGCCAGGUUACAAAUCUGGCUGUCGAGAUGCCUAAAAAGCAUUGCAUAGCAAGGGCCGGGCAAGACCGGUGCCAGCCGCCGCGGUAACACCGGCGGCUCGAGUGGUAACCGUUAUUAUUGGGUCUAAAGGGUCUGUAGCCGGCCGGAUAAGUCUCUUGAGAAAUCCAGCAGCUCAACUGUUGGGCUUUCAGGAGAUACUGUCUGGCUCGAGGCCGGGAGAGGUGAGAGGUACUUCAGGGGUAGGGGUGAAAUCUUGUAAUCCUUGAAGGACCACCAGUGGCGAAGGCGUCUCACCAGAACGGACCUGACGGCAAGGGACGAAAGCUAGGGGCACGAACCGGAUUAGAUACCCGGGUAGUCCUAGCCGUAAACGAUACUCGCUAGGUGUCGGCCACGGUGCGACCGUUGUCGGUGCCGUAGGGAAGCCGUGAAGCGAGC
rnacentral:rRNA from 1 species